rnacentral:rRNA from 1 species
UGGGGAAUAUUGGACAAUGGGCGAAAGCCUGAUCCAGCGAUGCCGCGUGAGUGAAGAAGGCCUUAGGGUUGUAAAACUCUUUCACUGGUGACGAUGAUGACGGUAGCCAGAGAAGAAGCCCCGGCUAACUCUGUGCCAGCAGCCGCGGUAAUACAGAGGUGGCAAGCGUUGUUCGGAAUUACUGGGCGUAAAGGGCGCGUAGGCGGCCCUCUAAGUCAGACGUGAAAUCCCCCGGCUUAACCUGGGAACUGCGUCUGAUACUGGAGGGCUUGAGUAUGGGAGAGGGAUGUAGAAUUCCAGGUGUAGCGGUGAAAUGCGUAGAUAUCUGGAGGAAUACCGGUGGCGAAGGCGGCAUCCUGGACCAUUACUGACGCUGAGGCGCGAAAGCUAGGGGAGCAAACGGGAUUAGAUACCCCCGUAGUCCCUGAGCGGGCUGGCAAGGCG